rnacentral:lncRNA from 1 species
GACACCAUGACUGUGGCACAGUCAUAAGCACCUAACAGCCAACCUAAUAAUAAAAUAGAGCAGUCUUUGCUUGCCAAUAGAAAGAGGCCUAACUCGUCUUCACAUUACAAGCAGCACCACGAAGCUCAUCCAGCCUCCUCUUAGCAUCCCUUCGAGCGCCUUUGGGGGAGCUGUAUUGUCGUGAACGCCCCUUUGUCCUCCAAGCACCCUAGUUCGUGAAGGAUGGAAACAAUGACAAUGCGGCAAACAGGUCAAAAGAACUUCAAAAAUAGAAAAAAAUGGAAGUAUUGAGAAAGUUAAAGAUACAAGAGUUAUCUUGCUCACCGCAGCUGUCUUGGGUGUUGGCAUUUUACAUCUAGGUUCGUUAAUCAUUUGGCGGUCGAGGUCAGCCCUUGUCAUACAGUAGGUGUUUCCAAACUCUACCAUUGACAUAUCAGAAAACUGGUUGAGCCCCAGCGUGCAUCCAUAAGUUCUUUCUCGGUUAUGCUUUCUAACAAACUCAAAGCAUUCCUUGAAAUUUGCGAACCGCCGCUCCUUCUCAGCAGCAUCUGCGUACGUGCGUCCAAACUUUCUUAUCCAUAGCUCGUACCUACCGCGAAUCAGCAUGUCGGUUGCCCAAGUGACGGCCUUGUUAGUAAGGGCCUUCGCAAAGGCGGCCAUGCUGCCACUGAGACAGAGGAUAUAAUUGUUUUACAAACCACAAAUAACUAGAGGCGUGGAAGGAACUGAACUAAGACAUUCCAAGGAAAAGAAGAAUCCAAGAUACAUGCCUUUCAACAAUUUUUUAAGUUUUUUAGGUCUUUUUCUGAUUUAUACUUCCUUACUUUUUAAAGUUUUUGAAAUUGAGUAUAUGAGGUCAAAUAAAUUGAAGAGUUUAUUAAAUUUACUGAUGAAUAAUUUUAAUUACUUUAUAGCAAAUGCAACUAAAAUAAUGAACGGCCAACGACUAACAGAGUUAAUAAAUUGCUGGCCAUCUUAAUAGAGUUUACUCAUAUUCAUGAUUUUUUGGUGUUGUCAUCUAAUAAGGCCUGCAGUAAUCGGCAAUGUCCAAUCAAAUUAUCGAUUAUUUCAACAAUGAAUCCCGUUAAUAAUGAUUUCAUAGAAUUUACUCAGAUUGAUUGGCGAUUUCAUCAAAGAAUUUGAUAAACAGGCUAAUAGUCGAGAGAGUAUUUAUAUUCUGCUUGUAAGUUAUCUUCCCAGAGUAAGAUAAACCAAUUACAGAUGCCGAAACCUUGCAAUCACAAAGAAAACAAAAAAAAAAAUCCUCAGAGCCGAUUAGUUGUCAAUAGAUAGGUAGAUAAUUUAUUCUGGCACUCAAAAGGGGCUGUAACACACAAGUAAUUACGGAAUAACUUGUUCAAAUGAUUUUUGUUUUUUUUUUUUUAAUGCUUUUGUAGACAUCUAACCAAACUCAUCAUCUACCAAUUGUUGCAGAGUCCUUUGUUUAAAAAAAAAAAAGAGCAAAUAUCGAAACAGACCAGUCAAGUAAUCAAGCAAACCUUAAAAUUUCUCAGAGGAGGGUGAAUUUAGGAAUUCCAGAUCAAAUCAAAAACAACCAUCCAAUUGUUUAAAAGAAAAGGAAUUUAAGAAAAGCGAAGUUUUACAUCUAAAAGUGAGAAAACCCAAGCUUUGGUAAUAAUAAAAUAUAUCGUAUAAACGAAAAAGAAAACUUUCUAGACAUCCGAAUACCUUGAGAUCGGAAGGAAGCGAGCUCUGGUUUCAAUCCGAAUCAACAGAUCGGAGAUGGGAGAGAGAAGGGUGAUUUUGAAACCCUCGAUCAAAUGCGGAGUCCGCCAUUUUUGGUAACGGGAAAAGGGUUGCCGAAAAUGGAAAUAAAUUUUCAUCUGUAUUAUUUAUGAACCAAAAAUUGACUCAGUUUGGAUUUUUCGGUUCGGGCGUGACUCCGGUUAGUUUGACGUUUUAUUUAAAUUUUUAACUAUUUAUUGAUUAUUUUAGUUUUAUUAGCUACAAAAUAAUUUAAAAUAUUAAAUUUGACAUAACUAUUAAUUUAUUUGAUAAAAUUUUUAGUUUAUGCAUUUAUGGUUGUAUAAUUUUAAAAAAUUAAAUUUAUAUUAGCCUUUUCGGUAGGGGUGUAAAACGUACUGUGGCCGGGCUGCGGCACAGCACAGGUAAUGUAGCAUACUUGGCAGGCCGGGCCGGCUCGAGAUGCAGUACCGUGCCGCGCCUCCCCUUAGACCUAGCGGCUCGGCACAGCACGACCAGAAACGGGCCUGGAUCGUGCCGGGCCAAGAAGAUGCACGGCCCCAACAGCAAGGCCCAAAUUAGCAUGGUUUAAGCUACUGGGGAGAAGGGCUUGGCUUGGCCCUUCCAACAAGGAGUUAUCCACUGUAAGCGUUGGGAGGGAAAAAUUUUAAAAUGCAACAGGUAUAUUAGUGACGUGCCGUGACAAAUCAAUCAAAUGUCUCAUUUUAGAAAUAUAUGUCCCAUCAUAAUGGUAAAGAAAUAUUUUUAUUGUACUUUUGUUUGAAAAGAAUGAAUGUAAUUGACUUGUUAUUGAUGACAUAGUACAAGUGCAAAAAUGAUUGUAAUAUAGAAAAAUAAAAAGUGUGGUAUGAUUGUAAUACAGAAAAAUAGAAGUGUGGCAUAUUCAACUUCUAUGGUAUGAACUGUGGUAUGAUUGUAAUACAGAAAAAUAGGAAGUUUACAGAAAUUGGCAAUGCUAUGCAUGCAUAUACAAUAUUUCUCUUGUAUAACACAAACAAAACGUUGCCAAAUUCUGAUUUUCUGAGUCGCUGUCCAGAGAACAUUUGUAUUAAGUCAUAACAACUUAGAAGCUGUGGCUCAACGCUACUGCAUAGAUAGCAUUAUCACCCAUUCUAUACCAGAAAUACCGAAAGUGGAGAGCACAUUCAGAUCUAGCAUUUCACCGGGUAAGAAAAGCAAACUUUUUCUAGAUAAUAUUCAUAUGGCCCAAUCGUAAGUGUAGCACAUUUUACUAGACUUCGAAUGCGGUAUCAUAGAAAGCCAGUCGCUAGAAACAAUACUUCUCGCACAAUGUAACCAACAUUUAAAUCAGAAACAGCAUAACAAAACAGCACACAUUGUACCCAAGUUUAGAAACUAAUAUUAGCAGGCAACGAAACAAAAUAGCUUUCAUACAAUAAGCAGUAAUUAGGGUCUCAGGAUGGGGUACAUCAUAAGUUAUAACAUAAGCUUAGCACACGCCAUAACUGUGGCAUAAGCAUCUAACAGCCAACCUAAUAACAAAAUAGAGCAGUCUUUGCUUGCCAAUAGAAAGAUGCCUAACUCAUCUUCACAUUAGAAGCAGCACCACGAAGCUCAUGCAGCCUCCUCUUAGCAUCCCUUCGAGGACCUUUGGGGGGCCUGCCUUGUUGAGAACGUCCCUUUGUCCUCCAAGCACCCUUCUUCGUGAUGGAUGGAAACAGUGACAAUGCGGCAAACAGGUCAAAAGAACUUCAACAAUAGAAAAAAAAAAAAAUGGAAGUAUUGAGAAAGUUACAGAUAAAGGGUUUAUCUUGCGCACCGCAACUGCUUUGGAUGUUGGCAUUUCACGUCCAGCAUUCUCAAUCAUUUCAAGGUCCUCAGCCGUCAAAUGAUUCAUGAAACCCUUCAUACAAUAAGUGUUUUCAAACUCUUCCGAUGACAUAUCAGAAAAGUUGUUGAGCCCCAGCGUGCAUCCAUACGUUCUUUCUCGGUUAUGCUUUCUAACAAACUCAAACGUUUCCUUAAAAUUUGCGAACCGCCGCUCCUUCUCAGCAGCAUCUGCGUACGUGCGUCCAAACUUUCUUAUCCAUAGCUCGUACCUACCGCGAAUCAGCAUGUCGGUUGCCCACGUGACGGCCUUGUUAGUAAGGGUCUUCACAAAGGAGUUCAUGCUGCCACUGAGACAGAGGAUGUAUUUGUUUUACAAACCACAAAUAACUAGUAGGCCCGGAAGGAACUGAACUAAGACAUUCCAAGGAGAAGAAGAAUCCAAGAUACAUGCCUUUCAACAUUUUUUUAAAGUUUUUUAGGUCUUUUUCUGAUUUAUACUUCCUUACUUUUUAAGUUUUUGAAAUUGAGGUCAAAAUAUUGAAGAUUUUACUAAAUUUACUGACGAAUAAUUUUAAUUACUUUAUAGCAAAUGCAACGAAAAUAAUGAACGGCUAACGACUAAUAGAGUUAAAAAAAAAUUGCUCGUCAUCUUAAUAGAGUUUACUCAUAUUCAUGAUUUUUUGGUGUUGUCAUCUAAUAAGGCCUGCAGUAGUCGGCAAUGUCCAGUCAAAUUAUCGAUGAUUUCAUCAACGAAUCCCGUUAAUAAUGAUUUCAUAGAGUUUACUCAGAUUGAUUGGAGAUUUCAUCAAAGAAUUUGAUAAACAGGCUAAUAGUCGAGAGAGUAUUUACAUUCUGCUUGUAAGUUAUCUUCCCAAAGUAAGAUAAACCAAUUACAGAUGCCGAAACCUUGCAAUCACAAAGAAAACAAAAAAAAAAUCCUCAGAGCCGAUUAGUUGUCAAUAGAUAGGUAGAUAAUUUAUUCUGGCACUCAAAAGGGGCUGUAACACACAAGUAAUUACGGAAUAACUUGUUCAAAUGAUUUUUGUUUUUUUUUUUUUAAUGCUUUUGUAGACAUCUAACCAAACUCAUCAUCUACCAAUUGUUACAGAGUCGUUUAAAGAAAAAGAGCAAAUAUCGCAACAGACCAGUCAAGUAAUCAAGCAAACCUUAAAAUUUCUCAGAGGAGGGUGAAUUUAGGAAUUCCAGAUCAAAUCAAAAACAACCAUCCAAUUGUUUAAAAGAAAAGGAAUUUAAGAAAAGCGAAAUGUUACAUCUAAAAUGAGAAAACCUUAGCUUUGGUAAUAAUAAAAUACGUCGUAUAAACGAAAAAGAAAACUUUCUAGACAUCCGAAUACCUUGAGAUCGGAAUGAAGCGAGCUCUGGUAUCAAUCCGAAUCAACAGAUCGGAGAUGGGAGAGAGAGGGUGAUUUUGAAACCAUAGGAAAAGGUUAACCGAAAAAAGAAAUAAGUUUUCGUAUAUUAUUUACGAACCAAAAAUUGAUUUGGUCCUGGAUUUUUCGGUUCGGGCGUGACUCUGGUUAGUUUGACAUUUAUUUAAAUUUUAACUAUUUAUUGAUUAUUUUAGUUUUAUUAGCUACAAAAUAAUUUAAAAUAUUAAAUUUAACAUAACUAUUAAUUUAUUUGAUAAAAUUUUUAGUUUAUGCAUUUAUAGUUGUAUAAUUUUAAAAAAUUAAAUUUAUAUUAGUCUUUCCAGUAGGGGUGUAAAACGGGUCGGACGGACCAUGCACUGCCUCGGGCCGGGCUGCGGCGCGGCAUAGGUAAUGUAGCAUCCUUGUCGGGCAGGGCCGGCCUGAGAUGCAGUGCCGUGCCGCGCCUAGCCUCCCCCUUAGCCCCGGCGGCUAGGUACAGCACGACCCGAAACGGGUCGGCGACGUACCGGGAAGCUCCUGGGAAGAAGGGCCUGGUUUGACCCUUCUGUCGAGAAGUUAUCCACUGCACCCCUCAGGAGGAGAGUUUUUGGUACAAUAGACUAAAUACAUUUUUUUGUCCAAUGUUUGGUGCAUUGGACCAAAAGCAUCUCACCUCUUUUUUUUUAAAAAAAAAAGUUACUAAAAAUUUAUAUUCUAUGAAAAAAAAAGCAUUUAUUAUUUUUAUAAAUGUUAAAAAUUUUAAUUAAUUUAAAUAGAAAUAAUUUUAUUGUUUAUAUUUUAAAUUUUACAUUUAAAAAAAAUAAAAAAUAAAAAGGCACAGCCAGGCCCGGGUCGGCGCGAACCACGGCCCGACCCGUGCCUUCCGGGCCAAGAGACCGUGCUGGGCCGGAGGGUUGAUAUCUCUGGCCGUCACGGCCGGGGCCAAAUUUAUAAUCGGGUAGGACCGGGCCAGCCCUAAGCUUGAUUCGGCCCGAAAAUAUAUGGGCGGUGCCGACCCGGCAUGGCCCACACUACAUCCCUGCUUUCAGGUGACACCAGACUCAGUUGAAGAUUGUCUUUCAUGGAACAGGUGGCAGCACUUUUAAAGCUCAACUUGUAGAAUUUUUUGUAACAACGAAAUUAAAAGACCAACGGUUUUGGAUUGGCUUAAAACGAUCAAAUUAUAUUUGGUAUAAUUACUAUAUUUUUAGAUAUUCUAGAUAGCAAUAUAAAGUAUAGAAUUUUCUGUGGAGAUUUACUACAGCAAAUAAAUAAUGUUGUACCUACAUGUGUCUGUCUCCUAAAAAGUAAUUCCAUGUGCCAAAAAAAAAAGAAAAAAAAAAUUNUAUUAUUUACUCUAUUUAUUGCCAUAGGAACAUGUCUAACAAAACAAAAAUUUUCAUGUUUUUGAGAACUAUAUUACCCUGGCACUUGAUAAUUCUAUUUAUUAACCAAUUAAUAGUUUCAUUAAAACAUGUUGAUUGAAAUUUCUCCUUUCUUUUGUUGCCACAUAGAGUGAUACUAAGUUUAAUUACAAGCCAACAAAUUUAAAGUCUAAGAAUUAUUAUUUUCAAUAUAUAUAUUUGUAAAGAACAAAAGGAGUAUUGCAAUGAAUUAAACUAAAAACUUUAUUAAAUAUUUUUGGAUUAAAUUUCGAUAGUGGAUAAUUUUUUACACAUUUACAACAGCCUAUAUAUAGGUAUAAAUCAAAAUCCUAAUAGCAAUAAUUGAACAAUAUUUAAACUCAUAUCUUAUGUCUAACCAACAAAAUAUUAAAAAAUAAAUUUGACGAAAAUAAAUCUAAAAUCAUUAAAAAUAUUGGGUUAUUUAUCAACAGAAUAAAAUUUUAGAUAAAUUUAACAAGUUAAGACCGUUUAUCUUCAAAUGCUUAAAGAGAAUAAGUAUCUAAACUUGCUCGAAAACUUUUAGUUUAUACUCAAAUCAGGUUGAUCUUGAUGAAUUUUACUUCGAAAUAAAGAAAAUAUUAAGCAUUAAAUAAUAAAGUUAAAAUUCAUAAUGUUCAGAUGUCUUUUACAAAAUACAUUAUAGUUUAAGACCUUCAUAUAAAGUGGUACAUUUUUAGCUAAAUCAAAAUUUACAUACAUACAUACAUACAUACAUACAUAUAUAUAUAUAUAUAUAUAUAUAGAGCAGGGCUGCUGUGCUCUCAGGAGCACGGAGGCCUCCGUACUCCUGAGUUGUCUUCGAUAAUGGAAUUUUCGAAUCGACGAUCGGCUUCGUUAGACUUGAUCUAGCGUAUUUGAACUUUCUAGAAAAUAAUUUUUGCGAUUUUUUAAUAUCAUUACCUAGUGAUCGAAAGGAUUCAAAAUCCAUAAUUUUUAAUGAUUGAUAUCUACCGUUUUCAAGUUUAACGGUGUAGAAGUGUUUAAGUCAAAUGAAAUUUUGAUACAAAAUUCUUUAUAGUAUCUACAACAAGAUCAAUAUUUCUGAUCGAAAAUUUUAGUGCUAUAUCACCACUUUUUAUAAAAUUUUUAUUUUCAGCCAUUAAAAAUUAUUGAUUUUGAAUCCUUUCGAUCACUAGAUAAAUGAUGUCAAAAAAUCGCAAAAAUUAUUUUCCAGAAAGUUCAAAUACGCUAGAUCAAGUUUAACGAAGCCGAUCGUCGAUUCGAAAAUUCUAUUAUCGAAAACAACUCAGGAGCACAGAGGCCUCCGUGCUCCUGAGAGCACAAAGAAUAUAAAGAGAAAUUAUUUGAACAUUAAUAUAAAGAGAAAGAGAGGGCAAAUGUCUCCUUUCAAGAGAAUUUUCGUUUUUCUGCAAAGAAAAAUAAAAAAUGACAAUGUCAAGUUUUCUACAUUGAUCUGUAAAAAGUAUUUGUACGAAAAAAAUUAUUUGAUGCUGAAGCAAAUAAAUAAAAAAAAUAUUUUCAUACUGAUGAAAAUAAUUUUUCCUUCAUUUUAUACCAAACUAAAGUCUCUCUAAUGAAAUAUUAUGUACAUGUUAGCAAUUCGAGCGUUAUAUUUUUAUGAAGCGCGCGGUACAAAUAUUGAGCACUGUAAGCAUGCAAACAGCUGAUGUUAUUAUUCUGUUGCAUCUAUACAGACCAUACAAACAAGCAAUUAAUAAUUUUUUUUAUUUAAAUAAUAAUAAUAAUUAAAAUAAAAAUAAAAUAAAUUGAAAAAAUGCUGAGAAGAAAAGAUACGUCACAUGUCAUGUCGAAGGGCUUCCUGACAAAGACGAAGCAGUUAAGGGGUCUUAAAACAGUGUUUUGAUUCUCGUAGGUUGUAAUCACUACAUGAUGGGUCUACGAAGGUUAGGCAACUAGGGCCCGAUUUGUCACCUGUGAGUAGGGAUACCGCUCGUAGCAACCGUUGUUGGAUAGAUGAUGGACGGGCGAGUGCCCUUCUGGAGCUACCGGGUGCGAAAAUGAUACACGGUAAUGUCACGGCAAAACGUACAUAUGUUGAUUCGGACCCUAUACAUGCUAUCCAUAUAUUUUCCACUCUUGUCAAAGUUACAAUCACCAGAAGGGCUAUACGCCUAUACAGCUUGGGUAAGCAUAUCACCCGCCAUUUAUUUGACAAAAUUUUUAAUUUAUGCAUUUAUGAGUAUAUCAUUUUAAAUAAUUAAAUUUGUGUUAGCCUCUCGGUUGACACUCUACUCUUUUGAAUAUUUCUUCUCUUUUUUUUGUUUUUUCAUGGUACAAUAGAAGCAGUUUUAUUAAUUUUUUUUUUGUUUUUCAUAACAACAAAACUAAAAAUUAGCUCGUAACGAUAAAAUUAUAUUUGAUCCAAUAUCCAUGUUACCAGAUAUUCCAGAUAAAAUUAUAUUUGAUCUAAUAUCCAUGUUACCAGAUAUUCCAGAUACCAUUGUAAAGUAUUCAAUUUUUCAGUGACAAUAUGUAUCAAAAUAAUCCAAAGUCUAUGCGUCUGUCUUUUCAAAAAUAAAAAGAAAAAUAAAAUUCAAAAAAACUUUUUCUCCAAAAAGUUUAGUGGACUGGCACGAAGCUCGCCUAGAUCUAUGUAGGCCGUUUAGGCCCGGUCUUUAAACUAUUCCUUGCGGCAGAGCACAAUCGGAAUAGAGGCUCCGCCCAUUUUGGAAUCAGCCCACACACGACCCAAUAAAAGUUAUUAGAUAAUAUUAAGACGAUCUAGUCAUAAGAAUAAGUAUGAUAUUAUAUUUUAGAGAUAAUUGCCUAUAUACUUUUUAUACGUUUGAAAAUAUUCGAUUUAUUCCUACUCUUUUUUUCUUUCUAAAAUACUCUUCAUACGUUCCACCGUUAUUGCAAAAUAUUUUCACAGUUAUCUCCUGUUAAGCAUUUUGUCCUUAACUUAAGGGCAAAUAAGACAUAUUUGUAAUGGCAGAGAGGUAUAUUAGAAAAGACCAAAAGUCAGUAAUGGUUGAAGGGUAUAUUUGAAAGGGCAAAAUAGUAAUUUUACAGAGAUAACAGAAUUCAUUAAGAGAUUUUAACUCUAGGGAUAUAUUAGAAAUAUGUUGGAACGUAGAAAGGGUAUUUUCAAUAUUAGUCUUCUAAGAGAGGUAAAUCGAAAAGUCGGAAACUUUUCAGAAAUAUAUAAGCAAUUGGCCCUAUAUUUUAUUAGUCGACACAAUUAUUUUAUAUUAUAAAAGGGAAAAAAGUAAAAAAAUAAUAAAACUCUAUCAUCCUGUAAUGUUGUAACAAUAAGUUUUUUUGAAACUUCUGUUGUAUAAAAAUGUUUCUUCUAACUACUAUAUUAUUGAACUAGGACUUUACAUGCGGCACCAUAUAUAAGAAGCCAGUUAAUAGAAACAAAACCUAUUAUCUCAUGUUCUUAUCACAAUUUCGAUGUGAACUCAAGACGACCUAAUGCCCAACUUACACAUUAGAUCCUCUCCGCCCAUUUAAGUUGUGAUUUGGGUCGCCACAUAAUCCUUCUACAAAACUUGCAUACUCGACUUUCAAGGUAUGAGUAUACUAUGUGCAAACAGCUGCAGCAGAAAAUUCAGAGGAUGCAUCAAUCAGAAAAUGGAAUAGAAUAAAAUUGAGUGACGGACAGGGAAAGCACUAACUAGAAUCUAAAAGCAACAAUCUUACUGAAAUAUUACGUACGUACAUGCAAGCAAUUGGAGCACUGUAAUUUUAUGAAGCGCGCAAUACAAAUAAUGAGAAAUGUAAAUAGGCAACCAACUGAUAAUAUAUAUCUACGUAAACUAGGGGUGUUAACGAGCCGAACACGAACUGACUUGUUUAAGCAUUGAGCCGAAAAAUACAACUUAUAUUCGACUGAUUAAUAAAUGAGUCGAACACAAGCUGGCCAACGAACAAUAAGUUAAAAGGAUUAGAUUCAAUAUAUAUAUAUAUAUAUAUAUAUAUAUAUAACACAAUAUAUAUAUAUAUAUAUAUAUAUAUAUAUAUAUAUUCAUCUAUUGUAUCUACUUGCGUAGCUUUAUGCAGAGUUGAGCUCCUCUGAGCUUAUGAUUUUUAACCGUUGGAUCUUAAAAUCCCUAGAGCACUAAUAAAAAACAUUUGGCACAAACUGUUAAUAGUGCUAUAUGAAUGAUGAUCCGACGGUUAAAAAAUUAUAAACACAAAUGAUCGUCUACUUUUAAAAAGGCAUAAGCUCAACUCCUUUAUAUAUGCUUUUUUUUUUUAUUUUCCUAUUUGAACCUAGACAAGUAAGAGAGGCUGAGCUGGUUCCCUGAAGUGGAUAAAUAGCUCAUUUAUUGCUCUUGCUUUGCGUCAAAUUGUCUCAGAUUUUUGCUAAUUUGCGCAUUUGAGUGUGUUUACUGAAGUUUCUGAGUACCAAUUCUAGUUCGCUAGAUGUGAUCAUAAAUAUUUUUAUAAAAUUAAUCUUAUCCAUUAGAUUUUGAUCUAAUGGUUGAAACUUUAUAUAUAAAUGAGUUUUUUUAUAAUUGAGCUCGUCUUCACAUUUUUAUUUUGUUAAAAAUCAAAUAAUAAAAAUAUUUAUUAUAUAUAAUAAUUUAUUUAUUUAUAUAAAUAUAAAAUUAAAUAAAUUAUAUAAAUAUAAAAUACAUGUAUUCAAGCUGUUAUCGAACCGAACACGAGCGAGCUGAUCUCAGCUCGUGUUUGGCUCGUUUACUGAACAAGCGAUUUGAUCUCGAGCUCAUUACGAGCCGAACACGAGCUGACUUGCGAACGGCGAGUUGGAUUGCUACCUAAACCAUACAAACGAUAGGCAAAGUAAAUCUUAAACAAGAAGUAAAACGUGAAAUGAAGGCCACACGAAUGUGUAGUGGCUGAUUUUUUUAAAAAAAAUUUAAUUAGUCAGAAUAAUUAAAUGGCAGUGGCUGAUUUUUUUAAAAAAAUUAAUUAGUUAGAAUAAUAAAAUUAAAGAAAUUAAGAACGUGCUGAUAGGGAGAAGUAUACAUGUAAUCUCGAAAAACGUCUUUACAAGCGUUUGUUUGCAUUUCUUCUUUUUUUUUUUUCCCACCCUCGCGAGUUGUAAUCACCGCGUAGAUAAGCAUACCGCCCUCAGCAACAGUGUUUGGACGGGCUGAGAGAGAGCGUGUGAAGUGCCCCUGUGGAAGAAACGGUGACGCCAUACUCUGUUGAUUCGAAUCACAAGAAAAAUUAUUGCCCGCACCCGGUGUACGCAAGUGUUUGAACACACCAAUAGGAAAUGCUAUCAUGCGGUGCAUGCCACACCCCGAUACUUACCCCAGAUGUAGACAACUAUUUUCAUGUUUUCCGAGUACGUGCCUGGUGGAAGAGAGAAGGCACUGUGCCAUAAGUGGCACAAUAGGGUUUUGCAUUUUUUUUUUCUCUUCUACCAACUGAGAGAACAGCUUCUUCUCUCACGCCAAUACAACACCUCCUCCUACUUUAAAGUUUUCAGUAGCUAUUCCUCUCUCUCUCUCUCCCUCUCUCGAGCCUCCAAAACGGCGGAGCUCCAACAGCGAAACCCCUCUCCACACCUUCGCUCCUACAAUGGCGCCAGGGUUUCUUCUGAGGCACGUCAAGCAUUUUGGUUAUCUUCCUUUUCGUUUUUCUUCCUUUGCUUAUCCUUUUUCUUUGUUUCUUUGCAACAAUCUGAUUAAUAUUUAAAUGAGAAUGGGGAUGCACAACUUAGUCAGUGUUUUUUUCCUUUUUUUUUUUAAUCCAACAACAUUUUUUUUGGUAUUUUUCAGUGCAUUUAAAGUUCAAAAAAGAAAAGCUUAAUGUAUAUUAGGCAUUUUUUUUUGUUGUGCAUUUAAGUAAAACUCUAGGAAUAUUAAGUUCACUAAAAAAAAAAAAUCAGAUGAUUCUAGUUUGCACUUUAGAAAUGUAGUUGAAAAUUUUUUAUACUAUUAUUCAUAUGCUUGUUAGAUUUUUUUUUUUUAAAUCAUACUUACAAUAUUUCUAUUAUUACUUUUGAAAAAAAUCAUACUUACAAUAUUUUUAUUAUUACUUUUUUUUUAAAAAAAAUCACGCUUACAAUAUUUUUAUUAUUACUUUUUUUUUAAAAAAAUCAUGCUUACAAUAUUGUUAUUAUUACUUUUUUUUUGAGGGGAGAGAUUAGAGUAUUAUCUUUUGUUUGUUUUUUUCUUUUUCUUUUGUUUAAUUAUAUGUAUUACUUUCUCUCUUUAGUUUAUUAUUGGGUCUAUUGAUAUCUUUCUUCUCGGUAUAUGUAUGAAGGGAUUAAAAAAUUAUUAUCAUUAUUUUCUGUAAAAAAAGCAUCACCUAUUUUGAAUAAUAUUUUUUAAAUUAUAGAAACUAAGAUAGAAAAUUUUGACAUAAAUAGUGGCUAUUGAUCCAGAUUCAAAAUAGGUCUCUAUUUCGUAUUAUGCAUAAUAAUAUUUUGAUUUAAAAUCUAAAAAUGUUUAGAUUGUAAUCAUGUUAUUUUAUUAAUUAUUUUACUUAAUGACAGGAUGAGGUUGGUGUUUAAAAGGACCAUCACUCGGGUGAGCGAUACCGGUUUGAUGGCGCGCAAACAGCUGGCCGGUUUGCAAGGCCAUCAUGCCUACUCAAGUUUUCGUUAUGCGGACAUCGUAAAUGUACCGAGCAGAGUCGAUUGGAGGGAACGAGGUGCUGUAACUCAAGUGCGGUUGCAAGGAAAUAGUAAGACAUCUUCUGCUUCCUUGUUAUAUAUAGGCUUAUAGCGCACAUCAUAUCUAAUCAAUUUGAAAUUCUAUAUUCUUGAACUUAAGUAGUUAUUAGUAUUGAGAGUCCAUUUGUUAGUCCAUUUAUUUCAUGACUUCAAUUUGGUUUCAGGUAAGUUUUUGUGUUUGAUAAUAUUUAAUCUUGUUUUUUUAUGUGUGCCUAAGAUUUAGAAUUUUGAAUCAAUUUAAAAAUUAAAAUUAAAUUUUGAAUUCAGUUUUCAAUCUAUAAUUCAAACUUAAAAUUUAAAGUUAAUUUUGAAUUCAUAAUUCAAAUACGAGUAAUUAUUGGAGACAUGAGUCUAUUUAUUAACCAAUCCAUUUUUCAGACUUGAUUUAUUUCUAAUUUAGUAAAUUAUUUUCGAGUUGAAACCGCCUGUGGUAGACCUAAAAUUUUAAAUUUUGAUUUGACUUAAUUCUAAUUUUGAAGUUAGUUAAAUUGAGUGGAUAUUGCGAAUAUUUUUCAAGAUUUUUUUGGGUAAAAUAUAUAGAAACCCCUCUGAGCUGUAGAUCUUUUGAAAUAGAGACCUAACCUUCAAGUGUGGUGCAUCUUCAAAACUUUAUCAAACAAUUCAAUAGGCCCCUCUCCUUUAUUGAACUACUUAAUUGCACAAUUAUUUUGAUUGAAUGUAGCUCAUGUAUUUUUAUAAAGCUUCUAAACAUAAAUAAAUUUAUUUUUUGUAUUUUAGGAUGUAAAAAAAAAGUGUUAAAAUUUUAAAUAUGGUUCAACUUAUUCUUCAUUCGUCUAACUUAAUUAUCAAAAUUGAAAGGUAAAAAAUAAAUUCUUCAUACUUUAAAGUCUUACAACAUUAAAUAUACGACAUUCAAUCAAAAUAAUUGUAUAAUUAAUAACUUUAUUUGAGGAGAGAGAUCUGGUAAACUAUUUGAUAAAGUUUAAAGGAUGUAAUUAUCAAAAUUGAAAGCCAGAUGAAGCUAAAGUUCAGGGUCCCUAUGCAUUUUAGCCUUUUUUUUAACUGAGCACAGAAUAUUUUAACCUUCCUUUUAUUAAUAAGUGCCGAAUAUUUUUUCGGACGCAGGUUCAUAGAAAACAACUUAAAAACACGCAGGCCUCCGUUCUCUCGAUAGCAUAAGAACCUAACACUCUCUCUCUCUCUCUCUCUCUCUCUCUCUCUCUCUAUAUAUAUAUAUAUAUAUAUAUAUAUGUCUAACUUUUCCAUCAUUGGAUAAUUUUUGAAGCAUGUAAAUUUGUUCAACAUCUUGUAUAAUAUACUUGUGGUGGUAUAUAUGCUGCGUGGUUGAACAUUUCCUAUGCUAUAACUCUGGUUUGGAGCUCACUUGCGCAACACUAACUUCUGCUGCGCACACUGAGUUAAACAGGGGCAAAAGUAAAACUUGGAAUUCCUAUUAAACACAUGCUUAGGUGCUGAGUCCACCUCACAUAUGGGAGCGCAAGUAGAUGAAAACAAAGUUAUAUAUCAAUGGCUGAGGUUGGGCUUUCAAUUUUUACUUUAUGAGUAAGCCUUUUUACUUGAGCCAAAUUUGGGAGAAACGGCACCAAAACGGGUACAUCAAAAAAUGUUGCGCAAGUAGAAUUUAGAACGGAGUGUAGAAGAAACUAAGUUGAAUUCGCUUGCUAGAUAUGAGUGUUAAUUUCUUUCUUGUUUGUUUGACAUGCAUUUAGGCAUUAGCAAAUAAUGAUGUUGUACUAAAUGUUGUAGCAUUUACUUUAGUUAUCAUAUUGUAGCUAGUAACUCUACAUCUAAAUACUAUAUCAACUUACAAGGCAAAUAUUAUUUAUUAAUUAUAUUAAUAUUUGUUCUAUUCAAGCAGAUUUGUGUUGUUGGGCUUUUGCUGCUGUAGCUGCUGUGGAAAGCCUAAUAAAACUACGAACAAAUAGUUUGAUUGAACUUUCCUCCCAACAACUCAUUGACUGUAAUAUUCAAAAUUAUGGAUCAGAGAUGGGAUGGCCUCACAAAGCCUUCAAAUAUAUUAUGAGAAACGGUGUGACUACAGCAGCCGAGUAUCCAUAUAGAGGACCGAGAGGAAAAUGUUGUUAUACGAGAUCGAACUACAUCAUAGCCAAAAUAAAAAAUUAUGAGUUCGUUCCCCAAUACAACGAGAGGGCACUUCUCAAAGCAGUGGCGCAUCAACCGGUAUGCGUAUCUAUCACAACUCCCCCAUCCUUCCUGACUUACACCGGUGGCAUCUUACUAGGUCACACAGUGCCUAAAGUGUACUGCAUGACUGAAUUAACCCACGUCGUUACUGUAAUUGGAUACGGCACUGAGAAUGGAACCAAGUAUUGGCUUUUAAAGAAUUCAUGGGGCAGGCACUGGGGAAGUAAUGGUUUCGCCAAGGUGGAGAGAGACAUUGGCAUUUUGGGAUUCGGCUUUUACUGUUGUUUUCCUGUUUAGGUACGUUGUAAUUCUUAUUUAUUUUCAAAGUUAAUUUUUAAUACAUAAGUGGAGAAAUAUGCUGUAUUUGAAGGUAAUUUUUGUUUUGUUUUGUUUUCAUAUAGGAUGGGUUCGUGCAUGAAGUAUUGUCGACGUUUGAAGACGUUACUGAUUUUUCACUAAGACUAGAUUUUAGCCGCUGGUUACUUGUUAAUUAGGCUUACUUGCCAAACUUAUUCAUGCCAUGACCAUUACUUGGAUUGGAAUUUUUGAGCUGGGAAGUUUUCUUUUGCAUGACAUGAAUGUAGAAAAUUGUACCGAGCGUUUUGUAUAAUGUUUUAUGUUUUCUAAGCUCAUCUUUUAUGAUUAAUUACAACUUUUUUAUGUUCACCAGUGAAUUGACUUGCGAAAAAAUUGAAUUUACAAAAAAAAAAUGUAAAGUGGAACUAAAUGAGUCCUCUCUUUUGUACUUCUCUGUUCUUGAUUUUUGAAUGCAGGUGGUCCAAUAUAAUAUCCUUGAUUUUAGAAGGUGAAGUUGAGUAAAAAGUGAUACUUUUCUAAUUUUUCUUUCGAUUUUUGAAUCCAACUCUGAAGUUUGCCAAAAAAAACUUCCCCCGAAAAAGCUGACCAGACUCAAAUCAGGGGAAGAAAGUGAAAACCAGAACUUACAAAUAUAAUACUACGAUCCAACGAAAAGUAAUUAUAACAGAAGUCCUACCAAGUGGAUUCCGAUGACAUUCAAAUUGGAAAAACAAACAAUUUGUUUAGAAAUUAGAAUGAAUUCUCUAUAAAAGAUCAAUAUUUACUAGCCACCGUCACCCACCAAUUCCAGUUAUUCACCGGCCCAGAAGAACAACCUGAAUCGAAAUGCAUUGGUCACUCUGAUAAACAUCCUUGAUGAAUAACAUUGCAAUACUUUGUUGUCAAUAUUGCACUGCACAAAGAGAUGUUAUUCGUAUUCAUUGAUUUCAUUGAACAACAUACCUGCGGCAGCACUGUUUGACGAAAUAGGUUUAUAGCUGCUCAUGUCACUCCCCCAUACUAACUCAACUCACAACAAGCACUAGUCAUACAGGAGCUAACAUAUAUAGCAAAGAAAGACGCGAACCAACCAUAAAUAACUCAACAAGCGAUUCAUAUGUCAAAUUCAUCCUACUGAUUGAGUCGUGAUUGGAUUUAGAGAUGUCAAUGGGUAUGGAUACCCGAAAUUUCAUCCGAACCCGAAGUCAAAUAAAACGGAUAUAUCCGAUGCUAAAUGAAUAUGGAUUCGGAUAUGGAUAUCAAAAAUAGAAAUCCGACGGAUAUGAAUUUUCAUUGUAUUCGACCCGAACCCGAACCCGAAUUUAUUUUGUAUUAUAUAUAUAUAUAUAUAUAUAUAUAUAUAUUUGAUGUUAUAUUUGAAUUUGUAUUUUAAAAAUUUAGAUUUAAUAUAAUAUAUUUUGAAAUAUUAAAAAAAAAUAAUUAUUUCGGGUUCAAAUUUUCGGAUUCGGAUCUCGGGUUUGGAGUUGGGUUCGGGUUCGGAAUUUUAAAAAUCCGUCCCGAAUCCAACCCGUUGACAUCUCUAGUUGGAUUGCAGCAUAAUCCUUCCUCAAAACCUGCAUAACUUNAUGGUAUGAACUGUGGUAUGAUUGUAAUACAGAAAAAUAGGAAGUUUACAGAAAUUGGCAAUGCUAUGCAUGCAUAUACAAUAUUUCUCUUGUAUAACACAAACAAAACGUUGCCAAAUUCUGAUUUUCUGAGUCGCUGUCCAGAGAACAUUUGUAUUAAGUCAUAACAACUUAGAAGCUGUGGCUCAACGCUACUGCAUAGAUAGCAUUAUCACCCAUUCUAUACCAGAAAUACCGAAAGUGGAGAGCACAUUCAGAUCUAGCAUUUCACCGGGUAAGAAAAGCAAACUUUUUCUAGAUAAUAUUCAUAUGGCCCAAUCGUAAGUGUAGCACAUUUUACUAGACUUCGAAUGUGGUAUCAUAGAAAGCCAGUCGCUAGAAACAAUACUUCUCGCACAAUGUAACCAACAUUUAAAUCAGAAACAGCAUAACAAAACAGCACACAUUGUACCCAAGUUUAGAAACUAAUAUUAGCAGGCAACGAAACAAAAUAGCUUUCAUACAAUAAGCAGUAAUUAGGGUCUCAGGAUGGGGUACAUCAUAAGUUAUAACAUAAGCUUAGCACACGCCAUAACUGUGGCAUAAGCAUCUAACAGCCAACCUAAUAACAAAAUAGAGCAGUCUUUGCUUGCCAAUAGAAAGAUGCCUAACUCAUCUUCACAUUAGAAGCAGCACCACGAAGCUCAUGCAGCCUCCUCUUAGCAUCCCUUCGAGGACCUUUGGGGGAGCUGCCUUGUUGAGAACGUCCCUUUGUCCUCCAAGCACCCUUCUUCGUGAUGGAUGGAAACAGUGACAAUGCGGCAAACAGGUCAAAAGAACUUCAACAAUAGAAAAAAAAAAAAAUGGAAGUAUUGAGAAAGUUACAGAUAAAGGGUUUAUCUUGCGUACCGCAACUGCUUUGGAUGUUGGCAUUUCACGUCCAGCAUUCUCAAUCAUUUCAAGGUCCUCAGCCGUCAAAUGGUUCAUGAAACCCUUCAUACAAUAAGUGUUUUCAAACUCUUCCCAUGACAUAUCAGAAAAGUUGUUGAGCCCGAGCGUGCAUCCAUAAGUUCUUUCUCGGUUAUGCUUUCUAACAAACUCAAACGUUUCCUUAAAAUUUGCGAACCGCCGCUCCUUCUCAGCAGCAUCUGCGUACGUGCGUCCAAACUUUCUUAUCCAUAGCUCGUACCUACCGCGAAUCAGCAUGUCGGUUGCCCAAGUGACGGCCUUGUUAGUAAGGGUCUUCACAAAGGAGUUCAUGCUGCCACUGAGACAGAGGAUGUAUUUGUUUUACAAACCACAAAUAACUAGUAGGCCCGGAAGGAACUGAACUAAGACAUUCCAAGGAGAAGAAGAAUCCAAGAUACAUGCCUUUCAACAUUUUUUUAAAGUUUUUUAGGUCUUUUUCUGAUUUAUACUUCCUUACUUUUUAAGUUUUUGAAAUUGACUAUUUGAGGUCAAAUAAAUUGAAGAGUUUGUUAAAUUUACUGAUGAAUAAUUUUAGUUACUUUAUAGUAAAUGCAACGAAAAUAAUGAACGGCUAACGACUAAUAGAGUUAAAAAAAAUUGCGUCAUCUUAAUAGAGGUUACUCAUAUUCAUGACUUUUUGGUGUUGUCAUCUAAUAGGGCCUGCAGUAGUUGGCAAAUGUCCAGUCAAAUUAUCAAUUAUUUCAUCAAUGAAUCCCGUUAAUAAUGAUUUCAUAGAGUUUACUCAGAUUGAUUGAUGAUUUCAUCAAUGAAUUUGACAGGCUACUAGUCGAGGGUGUAUUUAUAUUCGGCUUCUAAGUUAUCUUCUCGGAGUAAGAUAGACCAAUUACAGAUGCCGAAACGUUGCAAGGAGCUAAAAAUCCAACUCCCACCUCGCAAUCACAAAGAAAACAAAAAAAGAAAUCCUCAGAGCCGAUUAGUUGUCACUAGAUAAGUAGAUCAUUUAUUCUGGCACUCAAAAAGGGCUGUUAACACACAAAGUAAUUACGGAAUAACUUGUUCAAAUGAUUUUCCCCCCCUUUUUUAAUGCUUUUGUAGACAUCUAACCAAGCUCCUCAUCUACCAAUUGUUGCAGAAUCCUUCGGAAAAAAAAAAAAAAGAGCAAAUAUCGAAACACACCAGUCAAGUAAUCAAGAAAACCUUAAAAUUUCUCAGAGGAGGGUGAAUUUAGGAAUGCGAGAUCAAAUCAAAACAACCAUCCAAUCGUUUAAUAGAAAAGGAAUUUAAAAAAAGCGAAAUUUCGCAUCUGAGAAAACCCUAGCUUUCGUAAUAAUAAAAUAUAUCAUAUAAACGAAAAAGAAAACUUUCUAGACAUCCGAAUACCUUGAGAUCGGAAGGAAGCGAGCUCUGGUUUCAACCCGAAUCAACAGAUCGGAGACGGGAGAGAGAAGGGCGAUUUUGAAACCCUAGAUCAAAUGGGGGUUCGCACUUUUUGGUACCAGGAAAAGGGUAACCGAAAAUGGAAAUAAAUUUUCAUAUAUAUUAUUUAUGAACCAAAAAUUGACUCAGUUUGGAUUUUUCGGUUCAGGCGUAACUCCAGUUAGUUUGACAUUUAUUUAAAUUUUAACUAUUUAUUGAUUAUUUUAGUUUUAUUAGCUACAAAAUAAUUUAAAAUAUUAAAUUUGACAUAACUAUUAAUUUUUUUGAUAAAACUUUUAGUUUAUGCAUUUAUGGUUGUAUAAUUUUAAAAAUUUAAAUUUAUAUUAGCCUUUCCAGUAGGGAUGUAAAACGGGUUGGGCGGACCACGCACUGCCUCGGGCCGGGCUGCGGCGCGCAUAGGUAAUGUAGCAUCCUUGUCGGGUCGAGCCGGCCUGAGAUGCAGUGCCAUGCCGCCCCUCGCCUCCCCCUUAGGCUCGGCGGCUCGGUACAGCAUGACCUGAAACGGGCCGAGGAGAGGCAUGACACGAACCCCAAGACCCAAGGCAACAUGGUCUAAGCUCCUGGGAAGAAGGGCCUGGUUUGACCCUUCUCUCUAGGAAUUAUCCACUCCAAAGGGUAGGAGGAUAGUUUUUGGUACAAUAGACCAUAUACAUUUUUUGUUUGGUCCAUUGGAGCAGAACAUCUAACCUCUUUUUUUAAAAAAAAAUUACUAAAAAUUUAUAUUCUUUAACAAAAAAUUAAAAAUUUAUUGUUUUAUAAUUAUUUUUAUAAAUGUUAAAAUUUUUAAUUAAUUUAAAUAUAAAUAAUUUUAUUGUUUAUAUUUUAAAUUUUAUAGUUUUUAAUUAAAUAAAAAAUAAAAAAUAAAAAGGCACAGCCAGGCCCGGCUCGGCCCGGAGCACCACCCGACCCGUGCCUUCCGGGCCAAGAGACCGUACUGGGCUGGAGGCUUGAUACUCUGGCCUGUCACGGCCCGGCCCAAUUUAUAACCGGGUAGGAGCGGGCCGGCCGUGGAAGCUUGAUUCGGCCCGAAUUAUAUGGGCAGCUCCGGCCCGGCAUGGCCCACACUACAUCCCUGCUUUCAGGUGACACCAGACUCAGUUGAAUAUUUUCUUUCAUGAAACAGGUGGAAGCACUUUUAAAGCUCAACUUGUAGAAUUUUUUGUAACAACGAAAUUAAAAGACCAACGGUUUUGGAUUGGCUUAUAACGAUCAAAUUAUAUUUGGUAUAAUUACUAUAUUUUUAGAUAUUCUAGAUAGCAAUAUAAAGUAUAGAAUUUUCUGUGGAGAUUUACUACAGCAAAUAAAUAAUGUUGUACCUACGUGUGUCUGUCUCCUCAAAAGUAAUUCCAUGUGCCAAAAAAAAGAAAAGAAAAAAUAAAUAAAAGAAAUCUUUUCUCAAAAAAAAAAAUCCCAAGAAAACACUCGGGGUCCCGUUUGGUUUUCUGGCACGAAGCUCGGCCCAUAUCUAUGUGGGCCCGCCUUCAUUUUAUACCUUGGGGCAGAGUACACGCGGAUUUGAGGCGCGACUCAUUUCGCAAUCACCCAAUAUACGACCCCAGAAUUCUAGAAUUUUCUGUUUUUUUUUUUUUUUUUUUUUUUUUUUUUUUUUUUGUCCAGAGAGAAAUAUAGUAUGCUAUUUAUUUCGUUUUUUUUUUAAAAAAAAAAAAUUUAGGAUGAAUUUUAGAUAAUAUUUUGGUUAUCUAAUUAUAGGUAUAGUACAUUUUAUUAGAUACAAACUUAGUUUGGUAGAAAGUUGCCAAAAAUUAUUAUUUUUUACAUUACAAAAGAAUUGAAAUUUUAAAAACACGAACAAUAUUCCAUCCUGUAAUAUAGAUGCAGCGCCACACAAGAAACACUGGGCCUGCAGUUUGCUUCAAAAUAAAAUUAUGAGAAAUAAUUCUCGAUUAAAAAGAGUUUUUCAUGAAAAACAAAUUUUAGCUCUUUAAUGUUUCAUUUAUAAGAACGAAAAAAUAAAUUUUCAGCCAUGCUUGACUGGUUGAAAGAAAAUUUUUUGAUGAAAAUUAAUUUUAUAUAAUUUUCUUCUAUUAUAUAUUACAUAUUAUUUAUAUAAAUAAUUAUCGAAUUAUAUAUAUUAUAAUUAAAACUUAUAUAUAUUUUUUUAUCAUUAUCGUCAUCAACAUCAUCUAUAUUUAUAAUUUACAUAUAUUCAAAAUUAUAUUAUAUAAUAUAAUAUAUAAUAAGUAAUAACAACAUUAUACAUAAUAUAUAUAAAUAUAUUUAUAAAUAAAUAAAUGAAUAUAUAUAUAUAUAUAUAUAUAUAUAUAUAUAUAUAUAUAUAUAUAGCAGGGCUGCUGUGUUCUCAGGAGCACGGAGGCCUCUCAGGCUUCCGUGCUCUUAAGUCGUUUUCGAUGAUGGUAUUUUCGAAUCGACGAUCGGCUUCGUUAGACUUGAUCUAGCACCAAUAAGCUAAGUAAGCGCCGGAAGGCAACUGAACCUAAGACAUUCAAGGAGAAGAAGAAUCAAGAACAUGGCCUCUUCAAACAUUUUUUUAAAGUUUUUAGUCUUUUUCUGAUUUAAAAUUUCCUUACUUUAUAAGUUUUGAAAAUGGACUAUUUGAGGUCAAAUUUAAAUUGAAAGAUUUUGUUAAAUAUUACUGUCAUGAAUAAUUUUAGUUAUUAUAGUAAAUGCAACGAAAAUAAUGAAGCGCUAACGACUAAUAGACGUUAAAAAAAUUGCGUAAUCUAAUAGAGGUUACUCAUGAUUCAUGAUCUUUUGUUGUUGUCAUCCGUGGGUGAGUUAGAUUGGCGAAAUGUUCGACAGAUCAACAUUACCAAUUUAUUUCAUCAAUGAAUCCCUGUUACAUAUGAUUUCAUAAGUAUUACUCAUGAAUUGAUUGAUGAUCUUCAUAUUCAAUGAAUUUGACAGGCUACUAGUCGAGCGGUAGUUUUUAUAUUCGGCUUCUAGUUAUUCUUCUCGGAACGUAAGAAGUAAAUAAAUGACCAAUUUAACAGAUGCCGAAACGUUUGCAAGCAGCUAAAAUCCAACUCCACCUUCGCAAUCACAAAUAAGAAAACAAAAAAAGAAAUCCUCAUAGCGAUUAGUUGUCACUAGAAUCAAGUAGAUCAUUUAUUCUGGCACCUCAAAAAGGUCUUUAACACACAAAGUAAUUACGGAAUAACUUGGUUCAAAUGAUUUUCCCCCCUUUUUUAAUGCUUUUGUAAGACAUCCUACACCAAGCUCCUCAUCUACCAAUUGUUGCAGAAUUCCUUCGGAAAAAAAAAAAAAAGAUGCAAAUACGAAACCACAUCCAAGUCAAGUCAAUCAAGAAAACUUAACAAAUUUCUCAGAGAGGGUGAAUUUAGGAAUGCGACGAUACAAUCAAAAACCCAUUCCCAUCGUUAUAAUAGAAAAGGAAUUUAAAAAAAAGCGAAAAUUCGCAUCUGAGAAAACCCUAGCUUUCGUAAUAAUAAAAUAUAUCAUAUAAACGACAAAAGAAAACCUAUACCAGAAAUACCGAAAAUGGAGAGCACAUUCAGAUCUAGCAUUUCACCGGGUAAGAAAAGCAAACUUUUUCUAGAUAAUAUUCAUAUGGCCCAAUCGUAAGUGUAGCACAUUUUACUAGAUUUCGAAUGUGGUAUCAUAGAAAGGCAGUCGCUAGAAACAAUACUUCUCGCACAAUGUAACCAACAUUUAAAUCAGAAACAGCAUAACACAACAGCACACAUAGUACCCAAGUUUAGAAACUAGUAUUAGUAGGCAACGAAACAAAAUAGCCUUCAUACAAUAAGCAGUAAUUAGAGUCUCAGGACGGGGUACAUAAUAAGUUAUAACAUAAGCUUAGCACACGCCAUGACUGUGCCAACCUAAUAACAAAAUAGAGCAGUCUUUGCUUGCCAAUAGAGAUAUGCCUAACUCAUCUUCACAUUACAAGCAGCACCACGAAGCUCAUCCAGCCUCCUCUUAGCAUCCCUUCGAGCGCCUUUGGGGGGGCUGCCUUGUUGAGAACGCCCUUUUGUCCUCCAAGCACCCUAGUUCGUGAAGGAUGGAAACAGUGACAAUGCGGCAAACAGGUCAAAAGAACUUCAAAAAUAGAAAAAAAAAUUUGGAAGUAUUGAGAAAGUUAAAGAUAAAGGGUU